CCUACGGGAGGCAGCAGUGGGGAAUCUUGCACAAUGGAGGAAACUCUGAUGCAGCGAUGCCGCGUGAGUGAAGAAGGCCUUUGGGUUGUAAAGCUCUUUUGUAGGGGAAGAUAAUGACUGUACCCUAAGAAUAAGGUCCGGCUAACUUCGUGCCAGCAGCCGCGGUAAUACGAAGGGACCUAGCGUAGUUCGGAAUUACUGGGCGUAAAGCGCGCGUAGGCCGUUGAGUUAGUUAAUUGUGAAAUCCCAAAGCUUAACUUUGGAACUGCAAUUAAAACUGCUCGACUAGAGUUUGAUAGAGGAAAGCGGAAUACAUAGUGUAGAGGUGAAAUUCGUAGAUAUUAUGUAGAACACCAGUUGCGAAGGCGGCUUUCUGGAUCAACACUGACGCUGAGGCGCGAAAAUAUGGGUAGCAAAGAGGAUUAGAUACCCUCGUAGUCCAUACCAUAAACGAUGAUUGCUAGAUGUUGGAAAUUUAUUUUCAGUAUCGCAGCUAACGCAUUAAGCAAUCCGCCUGGGGAUACGACCGCAAGGUUAAAACUCAAAAGUAGUAAGUUAGGACGUCGUAGAACGUAGUCCGAACGACGGACCACCGAACGGGAGGAGGAGG
rnacentral:rRNA from 1 species